rnacentral:tRNA from 1 species
GCCCCCGUGGUCCAACGGCAGAGACGAGGCGCUUAAACCGCCUGGGGUGCGGGUUCGAGUCCCGCCGGGGGCA